rnacentral:rRNA from 1 species
AGCGAACGCUGGCGGCAGGCCUAACACAUGCAAGUCGAACGAACCUUUCGGGGUUAGUGGCGGACGGAUGAGUAACACGUGGGAACGUGCCUUUAGGUUCGGAAUAACUCAGGGAAACUUGUGCUAAUACCGAAUGUGCCCUUCGGGGGAAAGAUUUAUCGCCUUUAGAGCGGCCCGCGUCUGAUUAGCUAGUUGGUUGAGGUAAUGGCUCACCAAGGCGACGAUCAGUAGCUGGUCUGAGAGGAUGAUCAGCCACAUUGGGACUGAGACACGGCCCAAACUCCUACGGGAGGCAGCAGUGGGGAAUCUUGCGCAAUGGGCGAAAGCCUGACGCAGCCAUGCCGCGUGAAUGAUGAAGGUCUUAGGAUUGUAAAAUUCUUUCACCGGGGACGAUAAUGACGGUACCCGGAGAAGAAGCCCCGGCUAACUUCGUG